rnacentral:rRNA from 1 species
UACGGAGGGUGCGAGCGUUAAUCGGAAUUACUGGGCGUAAAGCGUGCGUAGGCGGCUCGUUAAGUCAGAUGUGAAAGCCCUGGGCUCAACCUGGGAACUGCAUUUGAAACUGGCGAGCUAGAGUUUGGGAGAGGUAAGUGGAAUUUCAGGUGUAGCGGUGAAAUGCGUAGAGAUCUGAAGGAACACCAGUGGCGAAGGCGACUUACUGGCCUAAAACUGACGCUGAGGUACGAAAGCGUGGGUAGCAAACAGG